UCUUAGUGGCGAACGGGUGAGUAACGCGUGGGCAACCUGCCCUCUAGAUGGGGACAACAUCCCGAAAGGGGUGCUAAUACCGAAUGUGACAGCAAUCUCGCAUGAGGAUGCUGUGAAAGAUGGCCUCUAUUUAUAAGCUAUCGCUAGAGGAUGGGCCUGCGUCUGAUUAGCUAGUUGGUGGGGUAACGGCCUACCAAGGCGAUGAUCAGCAGCCGGUCUGAGAGGAUGAACGGCCACAUUGGGACUGAGACACGGCCCAAACUCCUACGGGAGGCAGCAGUGGGGAAUAUUGCACAAUGGACGCAAGUCUGACGGAGCAACGCCGCGUGAGUGAUGACGGCCUUCGGGUUGUAAAGCUCUGUUAAUCGGGACGAAAGGCCUUCUUGCGAAUAGUGAGAAGGAUUGACGGUACCGGAAUAGAAAGCCACGGCUAACUACGUGCCAGCAGCCGCGGUAAUACGUAGGUGGCAAGCGUUGUCCGGAUUUACUGGGCGUAAAGGGAGCGUAGGCGGAUUUUUAAGUGGGAUGUGAAAUACCCGGGCUCAACCUGGUGCUGCAUUCCAAACUGGAAAUCUAGAGUGCAGGAGGGGAAAGUGGAAUUCCUAGUGUAGCGGUGAAAUGCGUAGAUAUUAGGAAGAACACCAGUGGCGAAGGCGACUUUCUGGACGAAAACUGACGCUGAGGCGCGAAAGCCAGGGGAGCGAACGGGAUUAGAUACCCCGGUAGUCCUGGCCGUAAACGAUGGGUACUAGGUGUAGGAGGUAUCGACCCCUUCUGUGCCGGAGUUAACGCAAUAAGUACCCCGCCUGGGGAGUACGACCGCAAGGUUGAAACUCAAAGGAAUUGACGGGGGCCCGCACAAGUAGCGGAGCAUGUGGUUUAAUUCGAAGCAACGCGAAGAACCUUACCAGGUCUUGACAUCCCGAUGCUAUUUCUAGAGAUAGAAAGUUACUUCGGUACAUCGGUGACAGGUGGUGCAUGGUUGUCGUCAGCUCGUGCUGUGAGAUGUUGGGUUAAGUCCCGCAACGAGCGCAACCCCUAUUGUUAGUUGCCAUCAUUAAGUUGGGCACUCUAGCGAGACUGCCGGUAAUAAACCGGAGGAAGGUGGGGAUGACGUCAAAUCAUCAUGCCCCUUAUGACCUGGGCUACACACGUGCUACAAUGGUUGGUACAACGAGUCGCGAGUCGGUGACGGCAAGCAAAUCUCUUAAAGCCAAUCUCAGUUCGGAUUGUAGGCUGCAACUCGCCUACAUGAAGUCGGAAUCGCUAGUAAUCGCGGAUCAGCACGCCGCGGUGAAUGCGUUCCCGGGCCUUGCACUAACCGCCCGUCA
rnacentral:rRNA from 1 species